rnacentral:tRNA from 1 species
GCCUCGGUGGUGUAGUGGUCAAGAUGCUCGCCUGGCAAACAGGAGGGCGCGGAUUCGAUCCCGGCCGAGGCA